rnacentral:rRNA from 1 species
UAAGGUGGUUAUAGCGAUGGGGCUCACCUCUUACCAUUCCGAACAGAGAAGUUAAGCCCAUUAGCGCCGAUGGUACUACAUUUGUGGGAGAGUAGGUCGUUGCCUUUUUUGA